UCCAGGCCCCUCUGCAAGACAGCAGGGUCCAAUUCCAAAACAUGGCCUCUUGUAGCUGGGCUGGGAGGUGCUGGGAUCUCCCUUGCUCAACAGCCUCUCGUAAUUACAUCUUCCUAGCAGGCUCUGUGCCCAGUGCUGGUGGAGAUUUCCUAAUAGCAUUUGUCCAGCAGUGGAGGGUAUGAUGCAUGUAGGAGAGACGCACGCGUGCAAGGUGGUGGGUUCUGGCAGCUGGAAAGUCCUCGCCACGCACUCAUAGGCCUUGGCUGAGAACAGAUGAAGCGAGACGGCGAAGUUGCGCAUGGUGGCCGGGUAGCUCCCACGCUGGGUUCCUUCAUAGCACAAGUCAAGCUGCAAGUCUGCUAGAGCAAAGAGAGAGCUUCCUGUCAGAGGCUAGCCUGAGUGCUGAGAUCUAUGAAGCCUGAGAGGCAGGAAGCAUUCCUCUUACUGCCAUCUGCGCCUCAGUCAUACAAAACUACUCCCAGCCUCCUGCGUCACAGGCAUGUUCAUAGGGAUGGAUACCACCAGGACUAGCUGGAUCAAAGCCAGAGAUGGAGAUGGACCUUUCCUCACCAGUGGGCCAGCAGAGCUGGAGCUAGGAAAUUGCAAUUCUGUGAUAUCCAUGGGCUGGAACCACUUACUCCAGGGGUCGGCAACUUUUCAGAAGUGAUGUGCCGAGUCUUCAUUUAUUCACUCUAAUUUAAAGUUUUGUGUACCAGUAAUACAUUUUAACCUUUUUAGAAGGUCUCUUUCUA